GUAAUUAUAACUGGAAGCUUUGUUUUUGUGGUUCUGGUUAUGUCAACUUUAUGACUUUCAUGUGAGAUUGUAAAUUGAUAUUUAGGCAUGCGCAUUAGGUUGAAACCAUAUUUUGUUCGCUUUUUGUGCACAUACACUAAUUAUAAUUUAUAAUCAACUUCUGGUACUGUGACGCAGUACGGAAGCGUGAAGGUUAGCAAAACUAAAUCUAACUAAAAUAAUAAAAUACUGAAGAAAUCCUCCUACAUCAUACUGUUUCAUGUGUAUGUACUUGACAUCGGAUAGUAAACCCUCCAUUACAAAAUGUUUGAAAUUCCGGUAUGACUGCUUCUUCAAACAGGUGAACAGGAGUUUUUCUUGGUGGGUUUGGUCAAAGGGUGAAUUUACCCUUUGGUUACACGAGUCGUGAGGUGCUCAGUUUUUAGUGCGCAA
rnacentral:lncRNA from 1 species